ACCAAACUCUCCCUCCCUCCCUCCCUCUCUCAAGACUUGUCUAUAAAUAAGGAGAGCCACAUUGCAGCAACUCAUCCUUCACUAAGACACAGAAUCUUUCUUAGAGUGUGUUUCCCAACUACAUUGUCUCCGAUCCUCUUCCUUGUUAACACAAAAUGGGUUACUCCAAGACUUUUCUUCUCCUUGCUCUUGUCUUUGCUGUUGUGCUUCUCACCUCCUCCGAUGUCUCUGAGGCCGCUCAAACAGAGAAAAAUAUCCAAACUGAUGCUGUGGAGGAGGCCAAGCAUGGUGACCAUAAGUACAAGCAUGGACACAAGCAUGGACAUGGUCACCACGGCCAUGGAGAUGGUCAUGGUCACCCAUGAGGACACGGUGCUGCUGGGGAGACGGAAACCGACCAAAAUUAGACAAAUCCUUCAUCCUAAGUUAUUUGUCUGAUCAAUGUGUCUAAGUAAUAUGUAGCUUAUCUAAGUUUGUAUACCAAUAAGGUUGCACCAUAGGUUGUACUUUUUUUCAUCUUUAUUCUACUAUUUAUGUAUUACAAUUAUUGUACUUGAAAGUGUUCAAUCCCCACUGUGGUGUCAGGAUGUUUUGUAUUUCUCUGCCCAUUAUUUCAAUCGAUCAUCCUAUAUAUGAUGACUAAUUCAAGAAA